CAGAGAGCAAGAACGAAAGCCAUGGCUUUCCUCUCAGUUCACAUCCAACAAUCCCAGAACCUAUUUGUGUGGUUUACUGAAGAAGGAAUCAAGCCGGGCUAUGUUAAUCAGCCCUACCAAGAGGAGAAAGGGCAUCUGUAGAUAAUCAUUUGUUUGUGCAGCCAGAUCUCCUCUGAAUGUGGGUGUAGAAACAACUAAUAAAAUAAUAAAUAAAAUAAAAAUAAUAAAACAAGUAAUAUUCUUUUCUUCUUCAGCCUGGGCUUUGUUCAAAUUAUUAGUGGAGUUUCAGACAAAAUCUAUACGUACACGUGCAGAGAGAGAGAGAGGGAAAGAAAGAGGGAGAGAGAGAGAAAGAGAGAGAGAGGGGAGAGAGAGAGAGAGAAAGGGAGAAAGAAAGAGGAAGAGAGAGAGAGAGAGAAUUAGUGGAUACUUGUUGUGGCCCGUCAGUGGCCUGUGCAACUAGUAGCUGAUUCAACAGCGAGGAGGCUGGUGUGGUGCUGUGUCAGCAGCCUGUGCAUCUGGCACUCGAGUCAGACAAUGAGGAGACUGGAGAAGAUUUGGUGCCAGAGGCGGGGAUUCAGCCAGGGCCUUCAGAACCUCCAGAAGCUCCCAUAAGUGAAGAGGAAGAAGAAGAGGAGCCUCUUCUCGAUGCAUAGGCGCGCAGAGCUGCAAAAAAGCAGGAGUGGCUCCUCAGGAGGAGGUCUCCUCAAGAGUAAGGCUUUGGGCUAAUUGGCCAUUCCCUUAGCCUAUUUAAGGAAGGAUGAUGACUGAAGCAAUUUGCAGGGAACAACUUCGUUCACUCUCCUUUGCAUCUUGAUCUUAGUUCUCUGAAAAUUGCUCCUGGGCUUUCUGCCAACCAUAAUUUGGGCUGCAGACAUCUGCAGACAUUUCGAUGACCAACGGAACCACAGGUUCACCUGAACUGGUCUGAACCCACAGAAUCCCACCCCUGUAUGAAAGACUCAGCCAAGGAAAACAAUGUGCCUCUUUGGAGAAUAAAUUCACUAUUAUGAAAAUAAAAGGUUAUUCCUCCUGAUGAAAUUUACUUGUCCCCUGCUGGAUCUGUUUACCUCACAGCAUCAGGCAAAUAUUGCAUUGAUGGAU